AUGGUCGGGGAGGUCCUCCGUGUAGAGGCCACUUGUCUGACCGUCGUAGUAUCUCUCGAGGAGCGACGCAUUAGUCGGGUGGCGGAAGGACACGUUGUUCAUGGUGGCCACCACGAUGGUCUCGGGACUCCGCCCACGCUCGCAUGUCUUGUUGGUGCCGCGGCAGAUGGAGCCGAGGCCGAGCGCGAAGAAGAGGCGCUCGUCGACGUGCAUGGGAACGCGGUGGCGGUCUGGGUGGGCGAGGCCGGUGAGGUUGCUGUGGAAGUAGUAGGACGGCAUGGUGUUGUGCUGGCUGGGCAUGAGCGGCGUCGGCACCGGCAGCCCGUUGUUGUUGUGGGAGGAUCCGGCGUAGCGGACGAGGCCGCGAGACACGAACCCCGGGAUCUGUGGGUCAGGCUCCGGCGGCUGGUUUGCGAGCGCCACCAUAUGGUAGUGCGCAGGCGGGGCAUCAGCGGCCAUGAGCACGUCGAUGGCCUCCCCUGGCGCGACGGUCACCAUGUCCGUCUUGUACGGCGUCAGGUAGUACCCGUCGGCGCCCACUACCGUGAAUGUGUGCCCAGCAACCUUGAAGUAGUACUCCGAGAAGAGCGCCGUGUUCACAAUCCGCAGCAGGUACGUCUUUCCACGCACCACGUCAAGGACGAAGCUCUCCUCCGGCUUGCCAGAGCAGUUGCUCAGGUCGCCCAGCUUACCGUUGAUGGUUGCCGACAGCGGGUUGUCGUCGAAGUUACCGUCAUGCAUCCUCCGGUCGAGCUCGACGAGGUCAAGCUCCCACCACUCGCCGAUGAUGAUGGGCACGUCCUUGGCGGGCGUCGGGAACGGGUACCUUCCGCCCUUGGGGCGGAUGAUGAAGGCGCCAGCCACGGUGGCGCGGAGGCAGGUGACGUGGGCGUGCCACCAAAGCGUACCGACCUGACCGGUGACGUUGAAGCGGUACACAUGCUCGCCGCCAGGAGGGAUGGGGCAUUCGGUGACGAAGCCGGCGCCAUCGGACCAGCAGCUCCUCAUCUGCCGGAUGCCGUGCCAGUGGAUGGUGAGCCCGUGAGGGAGACGGUUGAUGACGUGGACGACAACCGUGUCACCGUCGGUGAUGUCGAUGGUGGGGCCUGGGAGCUGCCCGUUCACCACGUAAAUCUUGGUCGUGUUGCACAGGUGCGUCUGGUUCAUCUCGUGCACCUGAACAUCAUCAUUAAUCAAAUACGUAACUGA
rnacentral:rRNA from 1 species